rnacentral:misc_RNA from 1 species
AAGCCUUCAAGUUUUCCUCUUUAUUCCCUUGGUUCUGUCCUUUAUCUUCUUAGAUUCUUCAUCUUCAAGUGUUCCAUUCCCUUCACUCUUCGAUCAGAUCCUUGUUAGCUGAUCGCAAUUAACCAUUUUUGAUUCAUCUAUGACGCUCGGUUCAGGAGGCUCGAGUGUUGUUGUUCCUAGGAACUUCAGGUUGCUGGAGGAACUUGAACGUGGAGAAAAGGGCAUUGGCGAUGGUACUGUGAGCUAUGGAAUGGAUGAUGGAGA